CUAAGAUUAAGCCAUGCAUGUUUCCGCAAUCAGGGACGAAUAGCUCAGUAAAACUGCGAUGAUUUAGUCUGGCUGUGUAGAUAACUACGUGAAAAUGUAGCUAAGGGAAGGCAGAAUAAGACGCAGGACUAUCAGUUAGUUGGUAGUGUAAUGGACUACCAAGACAGUGACGGUUGACGGGAAAUUAGGGUUUUGUACCGGAGAGGGAGCCUGAGAGAUUGCUCCCACGUCCAAGGACGGCAGCAGGCGCGAAAAUUGCCCACUCUUUGCAGGAGGCAGUUAUGAGACGUGAAGAUGAGUAUCUUGUAAAGAGGGAUAGGAGAAUUGGAGGGCAAGUUUGGUGCCAGCAGCCGCGGUAAUACCGACUCCAAGAGUGUGUAUGAGAGAUGCUGCAGUUAAAAAGUCCGUAGUCAUAGAAGGGCAAAGAGAGAUGCGAGGUCUCACAGUGCGAUGAUGGAGGAGCCGAUGGGGAACAUAGUAUACCAGGGCGAGAGAUGAAAUGCCAAGACCCCUGGUGGACUGAGCGAGGCGAAGGCGAUGUUCUUGUAGGCAUUCGGUGAUCAAGGACGAAGG
rnacentral:rRNA from 1 species